AUCCAGCUGACCAGUCCCAAAUAGGACAAAACACGCGUCCUGGAU
rnacentral:hammerhead_ribozyme from 1 species